rnacentral:miRNA from 1 species
AAUAUUAUGGUGGCCAAAAAGUUUGUUCAGGUUUUGCCAUAACAUAGUACAGAAAAACCUGAACAAACUUUUUGGCCAACCCA